GCCUUGUAACCCCCCUUCACUGGCGAAGGUCUUGGCACCUCCUGCACCCCCGUUCUUUUUCUCCUUUUUUUUUUUCACUGUUCCCUUGUCCCUGGCAAGAGCGGUGCGGUUUAGGCAGACAUCGAAUCAUGAACGGCUGCGGUGCAAAUACAGUCAUCAGACACUCAUAUGUACAGCGAAAGGAGGCUGCGGCAUCCUUGCAUGAAGCUAUGACGCUGAGCGUGGCGCUAUGGAGAUGUGCCCCGGCCUCCUGCAGAGAGAACUGGACCAACGAAGACACAGAAAACCAUGUUUUGCUGUUACUGCGCACUCGUUCUCCCUCCUCAUGGCUCUUCGCAUGAGCCCUACAACGACGGAGGAUGAAACACUGUCACGAAUAUGGGCGCAUGUGCAGACGCUACGAGCCCGUCGCAUGCGCUUCUCAUUUUAGUUUCUCUGUAUUCGUUGUGCCCUGGAAUACAAGAACACUGCUGACAAGCUUGAAAAGUCUGUCAUGCCAAAGUAGUCCGAUUCAACUGCAUCGGUGGCAGAUCUGAUCACCGGUCGCAGACACCAUGCCGACAUCCCUCGAAGCCCCGAUAAACGAUGCCGCUUGCUGAGAAAAGAGGUUCAUAGCGACAUCCGUCCCGCACCAGAAGAACACAGCUGCUGAGCUUACGCGACAACCGGCAACAAUCCUUGCUCAGCUGCGUAAGACCGCCUGUCCGCACUUUGGAUUCUUGCAGCGCCGGGUGACUGGCAGCGACAGCAAGGAGUACAGGUGGUGGUGCCGCCUCCUACUGCGCUGGCUCUGUGAUCCCCCUCCCCUGUAGAACUUCCGCCCCCGCUUGUUAUGCUGUGAGAGUGCCCAGCCCAGCGUGGUGUCCGAUGUGUCACGCGAGGUUUGCCGGUUGCUCGUGACGUGACACACACCGCAUUUCGCGCUGUGAUCUUCAACGCAGCGGCCUGAUUAGGCACAUCUCAAACGCGCUGCAUGGACUUCCCCCUCGUGUGUCUGGGGCUGACCCCUAUGCCCCCUCAGAGCGACGAGCUGUGGGUUUUCUGUGCGCAGGCACAUGCUUGUCCACGGGCCCCCAACAUUUGGCACACCGACUUAUGCCAGAAGCAUGUGAAUGCAGAGGAGGGUGGCGCGCCCUUGCCGCCACAGCCUCAUGCCAAUGCCCUGCCUGUCGCGGCACACGCGGUCAAGCGAUGCAGACCUCCCCCUUUUCGGUGAUGUCGGCGGGAAAGGAAGCCGAGGGCAGCGGUCUCUCCAGACAAGAAGGUUGCCCUGCAGCAGGCCCGCGUAUGGGGAAACGCGAGCGCUGUGUGCACGUGCUGCCCGCCGCAGCGGGCAUGGUGUAUCACAUCCAGGCACGGCAUCCAGGGGCGAGAAUAGCGUGGGCGAUAGGCGAAAAAGGCGCGCAGGGGAUGCACACGGAUCAGCGCCGCAGUGCAUGUGUGCGACGCAUGCGCCAUCUCGUACGCCCGACCGGGUGGGCUGGUGCGGCGGUGGCGGCGGAAGCAUGGCGAGGGCGCCCCGAGCCACGCCAUGGAGUCAUCGGGAGUCCACUGUGGAGGGUCUCCACCCGGCCUUGUGCCGGGGCUUGAAGCGAGUCAGGGAGAAGCACGGCAGACAUGCUGGCAGAGUGCAGGGUCUCCGAGGGCCCUGGCCUGCGGCCGGCCGACUUCCUCCCUGAGCUCAUCCGGCAUGACCCUAGACCACCCCCUGUUACCCGCACGCCGCACACCACCGGCUCCGCCCUCGAGCAGGACGCUGGGUGCGGCUCGCCUUGAUCAUGGCUGUGCCGUCCAGGCAGGUGGGCCUGGAGCCGCUCGCACGGGGAGUAUGGAGCGGAGGAAGGACACGAGGCGCCCGCUAGACGCACGCCCGGAUGCGACGGCAGAGGCCCCGCCCUAGACGGCGAGGAUUUCGCUGUGGUGCAGCAGAGGCCGGCGAGCUGUGCCUGCAUGCGCGUAUUCGUUGGCUUGUUCCGGGUGUAGAAUGGACACGCUCAGAAAGAAUGUUCUCAGCCGAGUUUGUCUCUCCCUUGCCGCGAUUCUCUUUAAUGAGCUGGUUUCCGUCUUCCUCUCUUUUUGGGAGCCAUAUGAUUUUGUAUGGUAGCUACCGGUUUCCGUUUGCUUGCAGCCUUCUUGUUUUCUUAUUUUUUUUUUUGCCCCUGACAUGUCACUCUUCUUUUGUCUUCUGACAUCCACAUAAGAGUUGCUGUUUCUGUACUAGUUCCUGGGGUGUCAUGUGUGCGGGUGUCUCGGUGGCGUUUUACUUGUAGCUGGGUCUCUUUCUCUGUGCUCUGUGUCACUUUUUUGUUCACUCAGAAUGAGUGUGGCCUGAGGUGGUGAGCUGGCAUGCGUCUUAGCCGUUCGUUGUGUGCGUCUGUGUGCGCUGCGUAAAUGGAAGGUUGAUGUAUUCGCUGGACGUGGUAGGGAGGAGAGGAGGUCUGGCAGAUGGGGGACGCGUGCCGGGGCUACAGACAUGGGAAACGAAAAAGAUGUUUAUCCUGCUGCUUCGAGGGACUUUUUUUUUUUUGGGGGGGGGGGCUCUUCGUCGUAUCGAUGCUUGCCGUACGUGGUCCGUGUUUUGAGAAGACAAGGAGGCGGACAUGAUCGCCUCUGCGCCUGACUUUCCGGCGUUUGUGUGUUGUUGGUAGACUGCAUCGGCGGCGGGGUAGAGGUCAUAUGUGCCGGUUGAUGCACUACUUCCGCACACGAACUCAGUCGUUAGAGUGUGCCUCUGCCAUUGCGCGCGUGUGCGUUCGCAUGAGGCGAUGCACGCUGCUUUCGUGUCUCUUCCUCGUCUUGUGGUUACUGACUGCGAGGAUGCCGCAUCGUGUCUGGUUCCGUUUUCUCUGUAUUGCUGAGUUUCCUUGGAGUGUUUCUUUUUUUUUGUGCGGCCCCGGAUAGGGUGGCGCGUUGCGCAUGCGUUGGUGAGUGUGUGUGCUCGACGCCGUAACCGGUUCCGGCAGCCUCUUCUCAGGUUGUCACUCUUGCACUGCAUCCUUGAAUGGCCUAGGGGGGUGGGUGGGUGAGCGACUUUGGCGCGGGGGCAAGGGUCAGCGAGUGGAGGUGCUGAGGGCAUCAAGUAGGUCAGGGAGGGGUGCCACGUGUGAGUGAGUGCGCGUUGGCUGCUAGUGUUCUUCGCAGCCCUCCUCUCUUCGCUAUGUUUGUCUCACUUGAGCGGAUAUGCUCAUGUCUCACGUCCCGCCCUUCCUGCCUCUCUCAUCACCGCUGCAGCUCUGUGGCGAACGGAAUCUCGUAAAAAUACUUCGUGGAACGUUUUCAUCCACAUGUCGCCUCCUUUUUCCACGCCUUCUCCGCUGUCCCAUUCCGGCGCUCGCGGAAACCUGUGCCUCUUUCUUUGCUUCUUUUCUCCCUCACGAUUGGAACAUGUUCACUCUGUACACCCUCUAUGAUUCACCCCGUCAAUCCUCGAGCACCAACAGCAACAACAGAAUCGCCUCCUUUGCUGUUUGUUGAGCUGUGCGGACUUGUCGCUUCUCUCUGAGAAUCUUCUCUUCGCGUCUUCAGCAACCCUUUCAUCGUUUUGAGUUCGUCAACGAAAAGAAAGUGCCGGCGCGCGUGCUUGAACUGCGUUUCCGCCGCGUUUCUCAUUUCGCCCUCCGGAAGACAACGAAAGAAAAGGAAUUUCAUCAGCGAAGAAGGCAACAGGCAACAAGAAAUAAAGAAAAGAGCGUAUCCAUGGAAAGGACCUCUGCUAUGCUGCUAUGGUUGCUCGUUUUCUUUUUCGUUAGUGUGCCGACCCUCCCCCUUUCCUCCUUUUGCACGCUCUCUGUCUCUUUUCAGUCGGCUCUGUUUUGCUCUGCCUUUUGCUAACACUGCGGUGUGGGCGUGUGUCUCUUUCUCUCUUCGCCUUCGUCUUGUAACUUCUCUACGUUUCGGUGCCCGCUAUGCCAUUUUUUUAUUUAGAUUACUCUUGUUUCUCCUUUCCUUUGCCCUCACGCCUGUUCUUUUAUCUUUCCUUUGCGGGCGAUGCAAGAGCCCUGUCUCUAAUUCUGUGGUGCUCUCUCUUCUGUUUCAUGUAUCUAACUUGUGCUUUUCUUUCUGCCUCGGUACGUCUAUGCUAGCAGCGCCGUGGCGGCUUUAAAGUGAAUGCGCCAAAUUC
rnacentral:misc_RNA from 1 species